rnacentral:rRNA from 1 species
AGCAGCCGCGGUAAUUCCAGCUCCAAUAGCGUAUAUUAAAGUUGUUGCAGUUAAAAAGCUCGUAGUAGAAUUUCGGGGUUAGUAGAUUGGUCAUGCCUCUGGUAUGUACUGGUCUCACUGAUUCCUCCUUCCUGAUGAUCCGUAAUGCCAUUAAUUUGGUGUUGCGGGGAAUUUGGACUGUUACUUUGAAAAAAUUAGAGUGUUCAAAGCGAGCUAACGCUUGAAUACAUUAGCAUGGAAUAAUGAAAUAGGACGUUCGAUCCUAUUUUGUUGGUUUCUAGGAUUGACGUAAUGAUUAAUAGGGAUAGUUGGGGGCAUUAGUAUUCAAUUGUCAGAGGUGAAAUUCUUGGAUUUAUUGAAGACUAACUACUGCGAAAGCAUUUGCCAAGGAUGUUUUCAUUAAUCAAGAACGAAAGUUAGGGGAUCGAAGACGAUCAGAUACCGUCGUAGUCUUAACCAUAAACUAUGCCGACUAGGGAUCGGAUGAUGUUAAUUUUUUAAUGACUCA